GUCUCGGUGGCGCAAUGGUAGCGCGUUGGACUUCUAUUUCUAAGCUCUGUAAUUUGCUUUAUCCGGUUAUCCAAAGGCUGCGGGUUCGAGCCCCGCCCGAGAUG
rfam:Cochliobolus sativus ND90Pr unplaced genomic scaffold COCSAscaffold_15, whole genome shotgun sequence.